rnacentral:tRNA from 1 species
UCCCUGGUGGUCCAGUGGCUAAGACUUCAUACUACCAAUGCAGGUGCCCAGGUUUGAUUCCUGGUUGGGGAA